rnacentral:rRNA from 1 species
GAUGAACGCUGGCGGCGUGCCUAAUACAUGCAAGUCGAGCGAACAGACGAGGAGCCUGCUCCUCUGACGUUAGCGGCGGACGGGUGAGUAACACGUGGAUAACCUACCUAUAAGACUGGGAUAACUUCGGGAAACCGGAGCUAAUACCGGAUAACAUGUUGAACCGCAUGGUUCAACAGUGAAAGACGGUCUUGCUGUCACUUAUAGAUGGAUCCGCGCCGCAUUAGCUAGUUGGUAAGGUAACGGCUUACCAAGGCAACGAUGCGUAGCCGACCUGAGAGGAGGAACGGCCGCACUAGAACGGGGACAGGGACCGUAGUCGUACUGGAGGCAGCGGUAGGGGAUCUUCCGCAUUGGGCGAAAGCCUUGCGGAGCAACGCCGCGUGAGUUAGGAUGGUCUACGGAUCGUGUAGCACUGUUUUUAGGGAGGAGCAAAUGUCUAAGUCGCUAAGCACUUAUGGACGGUACCUAAUCAGAAAGCCAGGGCUAACUACGUG